ensembl:lncRNA
AGCCAGUAUACUGUAUACCAUGUUGAAAUACACAGGUGUAGCCAGCCAGUAUACCAUGUUGAAAUACACAGAUGUAUCCAGCCAGUAUACCACGUUGAAAUACACAGGUGUAGCCAGCCAGUAUACUGUAUACCACGUUGAAAUACACAGGUGUAUCCAGCCAGUAUACUGUAUACUAUGUUGAAAUACACAGGCGUAUCCAGCCAGUAUACCACGUUGAAAUACACAGGUGUAUCCAGCCAGUAUACCAUGUUGAAAUACACAGGUGUAUCCAGCCAGUAUACCAUGUUGAAAUACACAGGUGUAUCCAGCCAGUAUACCAUGUUGAAAUACACAGGUGUAUCCAGCCAGUAUACCAUGUUGAAAUACACAGGUGUAUCCAGCCAGUAUACCAUGUUGAAAUACACAGGUGUAUCCAGCCAGUAUACCAUGUUGAAAUACACAGGUGUAUCCAGCCAGUAUACUGUAUACCACGUUGAAAUACACAGUCGUAUCCAGCCAGUGUACAGUAUACCAUGUUGAAAUACACAGGUGUAGCCAGCCAGUAUACCACGUUGAAAUACACAGGCGUAUCCAGCCAGUAUACUGUAUACCAUGUUGAAAUACACAGGCGUAUCCAGCCAGUAUACUGUAUACCAUGUUGAAAUACACAGGCGUAUCCAGCCAGUAUACUGUAUACCAUGUUGAAAUACACAGGUGUAGUACUAUUCUAGGAUUUGUUCAUUACCAAGUUGGAACAUAUUUUUAUUGCAUAUUAUAAUGCUUGUUGUUGUUGUUGUUGUUGUAUAUCCUCUGCCUUGACGAUGGAAGUAUCCGGUUGAUCCGAUUCGAGGUGACGCUGGCGUCAUGAAAUAAAAGCACAUAUAUAUACUUUAUGAAAUAAUGUUUACACUCCUGUUGUUUAUUAAAAAUAAAAUUUAAAAAGGCAUUGUUAAUUCAAAUGUCUGUAUUUCAAUAUACUUAUUUUAUACCGUUUUAUAAGUGACAUAUAUAUAUAUAUAUUGUGUAUGAAAAGCCUUGUAAUUGUUGUAAUCACUUGAUGUGAUUUUUGUGCAUUUGACAUCAGUGUCUCGUUGUAUUUUUUUCAAUAUUAAAAGGACCCAGAGCAGUCA